GAUGAACGCUGGCGGCGUGCCUAAUACAUGCAAGUCGAGCGAACGGACGAGAAGCUUGCUUUUCUGAUGUUAGCGGCGGACGGGUGAGUAACACGUGGAUAACCUACCUAUAAGACUGGGAUAACUUCGGGAAACCGGAGCUAAUACCGGAUAAUAUUUUGAACCGCAUGGUUCAAAAGUGAAAGACGGUCUUGCUGUCACUUAUAGAUGGAUCCGCGCUGCAUUAGCUAGUUGGUAAGGUAACGGCUUACCAAGGCAACGAUGCAUAGACGACCUGAGAGGGUGAUCGCCCACCCUGGAACUGAGACACGGUCCAGACUCCUACGGGAGGCAGCAGUAGGGAAUCUUCCGCGAUGGGCGAAAGCCUGACGGAGCAACGCCGCGUGAGUGAUGAAGGUCUUCGGAUCGUAAAACUCUGUUAUUAGGGAAGAACAUAUGUGUAAGUAACUGUGCACAUCUUGACGGUACCUAAUCAGAAAGCCACGGCUAACUACGUG
rnacentral:rRNA from 1 species